rnacentral:lncRNA from 1 species
AGGGAGAACCUGGAGGCAAUGGUGUGUACCUCCAAAAUUAAUAGAAAAUGAAAAAAUUACAUUAUAAUAAUUUUUUUAUUGUCUAAAUUUUAGAGAACAAAGUCAUAAAUUCAAAAUAUAUGUAAUUAUAAAACGAAAUAAAUAUAUAAAAAAUACAAUUCUUGGUUGGAGGCAUAAAUCUUAAAUGGCAACUUAUGAAGUAUUCUCCCAUAAGAUAUAUUAUUUAUAGUUUUUUGAUAUUUCAAGAACUAAUUCUUCUUAUAACUUAAAUAAUACACAUACUUUCUCCAUGCAGUCAAUUAUGUAAUCCAGCUUUUCAGCGCUAAUAAAUACGAUUUCAUAAACUUCGUUAGUUUCACAUGGAUAUGAAGUGAAAUAUAGAAUAAACAGGAUUAAUAAAACAUGAUAAAAGAUUAUGUAAGAAUUAAAAAAUAAUAAAUAAAAUAUUUAAGGGAAAAUUAUACAUAAACAAACUUGAAAAUUUUAGACACAUUUCUUUAUCUUUUAAUUUUACAAAUGAUUAAAAUUUG